rnacentral:tRNA from 1 species
GGAAGUACGUCAGAGUUGGAGAGCUGAGACGGUCUGUAAAACCGUUGUCUUUUGACUGAGUAGGUUCGAAUCCUAUUACUUCCA